rnacentral:rRNA from 1 species
GAAGGUGAAGUCGUAACAAGGUUUCCGUAGGUGAACCUGCGGAAGGAUCAUUACCGAGUGUAGGGUUCCUAGCGAGCCCAACCUCCCACCCGUGUUUACUGUACCUUAGUUGCUUCGGCGGGCCCGCCAUUCAUGGCCGCCGGGGGCUCUCAGCCCCGGGCCCGCGCCCGCCGGAGACACCACGAACUCUGUCUGAUCUAGUGAAGUCUGAGUUGAUUGUAUCGCAAUCAGUUAAAACUUUCAACAAUGGAUCUCUUGGUUCCGGCAUCGAUGAAGAACGCAGCGAAAUGCGAUAACUAGUGUGAAUUGCAGAAUUCCGUGAAUCAUCGAGUCUUUGAACGCACAUUGCGCCCCCUGGUAUUCCGGGGGGCAUGCCUGUCCGAGCGUCAUUGCUGCCCAUCAAGCACGGCUUGUGUGUUGGGUCGUCGUCCCCUCUCCGGGGGGGACGGGCCCCAAAGGCAGCGGCGGCACCGCGUCCGAUCCUCGAGCGUAUGGGGCUUUGUCACCCGCUCUGUAGGCCCGGCCGGCGCUUGCCGAACGCAAAUCAAUCUUUUUCCAGGUUGACCUCGGAUCAGGUAGGGAUACCCGCUGAACUUAAGCAUAUCAAUAAGCGGAGAAAACA